CACUGUACUAACAGAAACUUCAGAAGUAUGGCCACCAUCUUACUUCUGCCUUUUGGAUUUCACAGAGUGCUUUUGUCUGGGUAUAUUAGUCUGGAAACUGAAUGUUUUGCUUCUAGACUCUACCGCAGAAGAAAGCUACCUAAAGAACAGAGGCUGUGAAGCUACCUAAAGAACAGAAGCUAUGAAGCAGUCAUGAGUUCUUACAUACAUUGACUUAAAAAAUAAUGUAAAUUCAAUAAAUGGAAUCCAUAUUUGGCUACACUCAA